rnacentral:rRNA from 1 species
CCUACGGGUGGCAGCAGUGAGGAAUAUUGGUCAAUGGCCGAGAGGCUGAACCAGCCAAGUCGCGUGAGGGAAGAAUGUCCUCUGGAUUGUAAACCUCUUCUGUCAGGGAGCAAAGUCACCCACGUGUGGGUGUUGGAGUGUACCUGAAGAAAAAGGAUAGGCUAACUCCGUGCCAGCAGCCGCGGUAAUAGGGGGGAGGCGAGCGUUGUCCGGAUUUAUUGGGUUAAAAGGGUACGUAGGCGGGUGAUCAAGUCAGCGGUAAAAUCGUGGAGCUCAACUCCAUCCAGCCGUUGAAACUGAUGAUCUUGAGUGGGCGAGAGGUAUGCGGAAUGCGUGGUGUAGCGGUGAAAUGCAUAGAUAUCACGCAGAACUCCGGUUGCGAAGGCAGCAUACCGGCGCCCGACUGACGCUGAAGAACGAAAGCGUGGGUAUCGAACAGGAUUAGAUACCCUUGUAGUC